UAAAACCCUAGCCAUCGUCCCCCUCCGCCUCACAGAGCCGAUCGCCAUGGCUACCUCCGCCAUCCUCAGAGCCGCCAGGCGCUCCUCCUCCAUCUCCUCCCUCAGAUCCAUUGCUGGCAUUGCCAAUCCAUCUUGGUCUAUUUCUCCAAUAAGCCAUAAAUGGGCAGGCAUGAUGAGGUCAUUUAGUUCAAAGCCAGCCGGUAACGAUGUAAUAGGAAUUGAUUUGGGAACCACAAAUUCUUGUGUGGCUGUCAUGGAAGGAAAGUCUGCUAAAGUAAUAGAGAAUGCUGAAGGAGCUCGG
rnacentral:misc_RNA from 1 species